CGCUAGCGGCAGGCUUAACACAUGCAAGUCGAGGGGCAGCAUGACACGGAGAUUCGUCGUAAGUGUUGAUGGCGACCGGCGCAAGGGUGCGUAACGCGUGAGCAACUUGCCCGUUUCUGGGGAAUAACCGGUGGAAACGCCGACUAAUACCCCAUAGUAUAACGAAGAGGCAUCUUUUAGUGAUUAAAGAACUUCGGAUAAGGAUAGGCUCGCGUGACAUUAGCUAGAUGGCGGGGUAACGGCCCACCAUGGCGACGAUGUCUAGGGGUUCUGAGAGGAAGGUCCCCCACACUGGAACUGACGACACGGUCCAGACUCCUACGGGAGGCAGCAGUGAGGAAUAUUGGUCAAUGGUCGAGAGACUGAACCAGCCAUGCCGCGUGAAGGUCACGGCCCUAUGGGUCUUAAACUUCUUUUGUAAGGGAGCAAUAAGGUUCACGUGUGGACUGAUGAGAGUACCUUACGAAUAAGCAUCGGCUAACUCCGUG
rnacentral:rRNA from 1 species